rnacentral:tRNA from 1 species
GGAGUUGUGGCUCAGGGGUAGAGCACUUGCCUAGAAUGUAUGAGGCUCUGGGUUCCAUCCUCAGCACUGCA